CCAUGUUCUAGACAUUAUUGAAGAUGGGGGAAAAGCAGUAUUUUGGUCUCCAGCCACUAUAGGCGUUUUUAAUAUAUACAAAUGUGAUUUACAGCUGUAAUCUAGGUCAGCUACAAGGCUAUUAUCACAACUGCCAACAAUUUUUUUGCUCUUUUCAUAUUUUAUCAAUGAAUAAAAGCCUCAAUUGCUCUGAUAAGAAUUUACCUAUAGAACUAUCCAUUGUGUGUUUCUUCUGGCAGUGAUGUCCUUCAGAUUGCAAUUGUCUGGCCACUAAAACAUUUUCACCAUUUAGUCUUCGAAUAUUUUUAACAAUACAAAUAAUAGUGCAGACAAUGAAAUUGAUUUCACCCCCAAAAAUCUAAUCAAAUUAAAAUUAGUACAUUGUUAUUGUCAUUUAUAUUUUCAGGUUUCAACCAAGAGGGAAUAUAAUUAUUUUCCUCUUAAGUUUUACUCUUCCUACAUUAUAAAGUAAAUGCUGCGACUACCCUUACAUUUUCAAUUCAAAGUUCCAUUACAAGGAGCAUGCUUAAAGAGCUCUGCCUCUUUUAAAGAAAGAUUACUGGUUUAUUUUAAUGUUGACACAGGAAAAAAAAAUAAUAAAAAAAAAUCUUGGUUUCUCCUAUUUUUUUAUGGUGUGAGCGUGUAAUAGGUAGGACGUGUGUUCAGGGUCAGGCAUGCAUGAAAUGAGUGUGAGGAGUGACUGGGUUUUGGUGGGCGGGAGGGUGGUUUAUUAUGCUUGGAAAAUAGAAAAUAAAGUUAAAAAUAAAAAAAACUCUGAAAAAUAAGGAAUAUUUUUCCUUAAUGUGUAAAAGGUUAUUUCUAUCAAUAAAUUAACAUGGAAAAAUCA